UCCCUGGUUGUCCAGUGGCUAAGACUCUGUGCUCCCAAUGCAGGGGGCCUGGGUUCGAUCCUCCGUCGGGGAA
rnacentral:tRNA from 1 species